CGGCUCUUCAGCCCAUUUCAAGGCGCACUCGUGACCGAUCUGCCCUUCACAACGAGCCAGCUUCUUUCUGCCAAGCGAUGCGUAGAACAAUCCGGACUUCACACGGUGAAAUUAGAAACACGCCUCGGGAGUGAUCAGAAGGCCGCAUCAAUGGAACCGGAUAACCAAGGUCAGACAAACAGGUCACUGCCGCCCCCCCCCAAACA